rnacentral:rRNA from 1 species
AUACGUAGGGUGCAAGCGUUAAUCGGAAUUACUGGGCGUAAAGCGUGCGCAGGCGGUUUUGUAAGACCGAGGUGAAAUCCCCGGGCUCAACCCGGGAAAUGCCUUUGUGACCGCAAGGCUAGAGUAUGGCAGAGGGGGAUGGAACUACCCGUGUAGCGGGGAAAUGCGUAGAUAUGCGGAGGAACACCGAUGGCGAAGGCAAUCCCCUGGGCCUGUACUGACGCUCAUGCACGAAAGCGUGGGGAGCAAACAGGAUUAGAUACCCUGGUAGUCCACGCCCUAAACGAUGUCAACUGGUUGUUGGGUCUUCAUUGACUCAGUAACGAAGCUAACGCGUGAAGUUGACCGCCUGGGGAGUACGGCCGCAAGGUUGAAACUCAAAUGAAUUGACGGGG